GGGUUGUGAGGUUAAGCGACUAAGCGUACACGGUGGAUGCCCUGGCAGUCAGAGGCGAUGAAGGGCGUACUAAUCUGCGAUAAGCGCCGGUAAGGUGAUAUGAACCGUUAUAACCGGCGAUACCCGAAUGGGGAAACCCAGUGUGAUUCGUCACACUAUCAUUAACUGAAUCCAUAGGUUAAUGAGGCGAACCGGGGGAACUGAAACAUCUAAGUACCCCGAGGAAAAGAAAUCAACCGAGAUUCCCCCAGUAGCGGCGAGCGAACGGGGAGGAGCCCAGAGCCUGAAUCAGCAUGUGUGUUAGUGGAAGCGUCUGGAAAGGCGCGCGAUACAGGGUGACAGCCCCGUACACAAAAGCGCAUGUGCUGUGAGCUCGAUGAGUAGGGCGGGACACGUGGUAUCCUGUCUGAAUAUGGGGGGACCAUCCUCCAAGGCUAAAUACUCCUGACUGACCGAUAGUGAACCAGUACCGUGAGGGAAAGGCGAAAAGAACCCCGGCGAGGGGAGUGAAAAAGAACCUGAAACCGUGUACGUACAAGCAGUGGGAGCACAGGUUUACCUGNNNNNNNNNNNNNCUUUUGUAUAAUGGGUCAGCGACUUAUAUUCUGUAGCAAGGUUAACCGAAUAGGGGAGCCGGAGGGAAACCGAGUCUUAAUUGGGCGUUAAGUUGCAGGGUAUAGACCCGAAACCCGGUGAUCUAGCCAUGGGCAGGUUGAAGGUUGGGUAACACUAACUGGAGGACCGAACCGACUAAUGUUGAAAAAUUAGCGGAUGACCUGUGGCUGGGGGUGAAAGGCCAAUCAAACCGGGAGAUAGCUGGUUCUCCCCGAAAGCUAUUUAGGUAGCGCCUCGUGAAUUCAUCUCCGGGGGUAGAGCACUGUUUCGGCUAGGGGGCCAUCCCGGCUUACCAACCCGAUGCAAACUGCGAAUACCGGAGAAUGUUAUCACGGGAGACACACGGCGGGUGCUAACGUCCGUCGUGAAGAGGGAAACAACCCAGACCGCCAGCUAAGGUCCCAAAGUCAUGGUUAAGUGGGAAACGAUGUGGGAAGGCCCAGACAGCCAGGAUGUUGGCUUAGAAGCAGCCAUCAUUUAAAGAAAGCGUAAUAGCUCACUGGUCGAGUCGGCCUGCGCGGAAGAUGUAACGGGGCUAAACCAUGCACCGAAGCUGCGGCAGCGACACUGUGUGUUGUUGGGUAGGGGAGCGUUCUGUAAGCCUGCGAAGGUGGCCUGUGAGGGUUGCUGGAGGUAUCAGAAGUGCGAAUGCUGACAUAAGUAACGAUAAAGCGGGUGAAAAGCCCGCUCGCCGGAAGACCAAGGGUUCCUGUCCAACGUUAAUCGGGGCAGGGUGAGUCGACCCCUAAGGCGAGGCCGAAAGGCGUAGUCGAUGGGAAACGGGUUAAUAUUCCCGUACUUGGUGUUACUGCGAAGGGGGGACGGAGAAGGCUAUGUUGGCCGGGCGACGGUUGUCCCGGUUUAAGCGUGUAGGUGUGUGUUCCAGGUAAAUCCGGUUCACUUUAACACUGAGGCGUGACGACGAGGCACUACGGUGCUGAAGCAACAAAUGCCCUGCUUCCAGGAAAAGCCUCUAAGCAUCAGGUAACAUCAAAUCGUACCCCAAACCGACACAGGUGGUCAGGUAGAGAAUACCAAGGCGCUUGAGAGAACUCGGGUGAAGGAACUAGGCAAAAUGGUGCCGUAACUUCGGGAGAAGGCACGCUGACACGUAGGUGAAGUGAUUUACUCAUGGAGCUGAAGUCAGUCGAAGAUACCAGCUGGCUGCAACUGUUUAUUAAAAACACAGCACUGUGCAAACACGAAAGUGGACGUAUACGGUGUGACGCCUGCCCGGUGCCGGAAGGUUAAUUGAUGGGGUCAGCGCAAGCGAAGCUCCUGAUCGAAGCCCCGGUAAACGGCGGCCGUAACUAUAACGGUCCUAAGGUAGCGAAAUUCCUUGUCGGGUAAGUUCCGACCUGCACGAAUGGCGUAAUGAUGGCCAGGCUGUCUCCACCCGAGACUCAGUGAAAUUGAACUCGCUGUGAAGAUGCAGUGUACCCGCGGCAAGACGGAAAGACCCCGUGAACCUUUACUAUAGCUUGACACUGAACAUUGAGCCUUGAUGUGUAGGAUAGGUGGGAGGCUUUGAAGUGUGGACGCCAGUCUGCAUGGAGCCGACCUUGAAAUACCACCCUUUAAUGUUUGAUGUUCUAACGUGGACCCGUUACCCGGGUUGCGGACAGUGUCUGGUGGGUAGUUUGACUGGGGCGGUCUCCUCCUAAAGAGUAACGGAGGAGCACGAAGGUUGGCUAAUCCUGGUCGGACAUCAGGAGGUUAGUGCAAUGGCAUAAGCCAGCUUGACUGCGAGCGUGACGGCGCGAGCAGGUGCGAAAGCAGGUCAUAGUGAUCCGGUGGUUCUGAAUGGAAGGGCCAUCGCUCAACGGAUAAAAGGUACUCCGGGGAUAACAGGCUGAUACCGCCCAAGAGUUCAUAUCGACGGCGGUGUUUGGCACCUCGAUGUCGGCUCAUCACAUCCUGGGGCUGAAGUAGGUCCCAAGGGUAUGGCUGUUCGCCAUUUAAAGUGGUACGCGAGCUGGGUUUAGAACGUCGUGAGACAGUUCGGUCCCUAUCUGCCGUGGGCGCUGGAGAACUGAGGGGGGCUGCUCCUAGUACGAGAGGACCGGAGUGGACGCAUCACUGGUGUUCGGGUUGUCAUGCCAAUGGCACUGCCCGGUAGCUAAAUGCGGAAGAGAUAAGUGCUGAAAGCAUCUAAGCACGAAACUUGCCCCGAGAUGAGUUCUCCCUGAGACUUAAAGUCUCCUGAAGGAACGUUGAAGACGACGACGUUGAUAGGCCGGGUGUGUAAGCGCAGCGAUGCGUUGAGCUAACCGGUACUAAUGAACCGUGAGGCUUAACCUUACAACGCCGAAG
rnacentral:rRNA from 1 species